rnacentral:lncRNA from 1 species
ACUGCUAAAGAGCCUUCUUUUACAGCUGAAGGCUUUGAGAUAAGCGUUGGAACCAACCAUCUCGGUCACUUUCUUCUCUCAAGAUUGCUUCUUGAUGACCUGAAAAAAUCUGAUUAUCCAUCAAAACGUAUGAUCAUCGUAGGAUCUAUAACAGGUAAAUAACACAGACAACUUGUCCAUUUCCACCAAGAUAGUUCCUAGUAUCAAACAAUGAAUGUUCUUUUCUAUGUUCUUGCAGGAAACACAAAUACUUUGGCUGGGAAUGUACCGCCAAAGGCAAACCUUGGAGACCUAAGAGGCUUAGCGUCAGGAUUGAAUGGGCAAAACAGUUCAAUGAUAGAUGGAGGAGAGUUUGAUGGAGCAAAGGCUUACAAAGACAGCAAAGUAUGCAAUAUGCUGACAAUGCAGGAGCUUCACAGACGUUACCACGAGGAAACAGGAGUCACGUUUGCUUCUCUUUACCCUGGUUGCAUCGCUACAACAGGGUUGUUCAGAGAACACAUACCGCUGUUUCGGCUUCUUUUUCCGCCUUUUCAAAAGUAUAUCACCAAAGGUUACGUAUCUGAAGAGGAAGCUGGCAAAAGACUAGCACAGGUCAGUUUGCAUUGCAAAUCCUUUCUAAUAUAUGUAUAACAGAUUAUUGAUUGAUACUGAGGAUGUGGUUUUGUUUUAGGUUGUGAGUGACCCUAGUCUUGGGAAGUCAGGAGUGUAUUGGAGUUGGAACAAUAACUCGUCUUCGUUUGAGAAUCAGCUUUCUAAAGAAGCAAGUGAUGCGGAGAAGGCAAAGAAACUGUGGGAGGUUAGCGAGAAGCUUGUUGGUUUGGCAUGAACUCAAGAUUUUUGAUAUGCAAAUUCAUAUAGAUUACUAUGUUUUGUGACAUGUACAAUAAGUAUGAUCAAUCAGACUAAUCAUUCGAAUGCAUUUCAAUAGAGUUAAUCAUCGAAUUCGAAUCUGAAGACACUUACAAUUAGACUGAUGAUUCGUAGAUUGCUCCAUAGUUGAGAUGGGGACAUGAAUCGUUACUGUUGUUGAGACACGACCAACGAACUGCAUCGUAAUCCCGAGUAAAAUUUAACCGAUAAGAGUCUUCGGUCUUAGAGAAUCUAACAUCUUUCUUCUCUCUUCGAGAAUUACCCGAUGAUCGGAAUUACAAAACGGUUAACACCGGCGAGAAUUGGUGGGAUAUCAUGUCGUGGAUCUUUUCUAGUGUGCCUUUUCUCUAACACGUCGUCG